rnacentral:sRNA from 1 species
UCAAAGGGACUCGGAUACAUAUGUAUACCCCUACUCCACGUGCCUUGUAUACUAUGAUGCAUGUUCGUGAGGUAUUAUUUUUUGAUAUCGGCACAGAUGUAUUUGUUAUAAAUUGACUUAUUGGCCGCGCUUGCAUGCGAUGAGGCUCUUUGCAUGGGCCAACGCGCGGACCGGAAGCCACAACACCGACAACUUGAUCUUCAAACCUCAGCCGGCCGUUCUCCGCGAACAAACAUUUACCGCUGCAGAGGAUUGAUGAUUUGAGUUUCUUGAAUAGGGGCCGCGCUGAUUCCGUCGACACUCUCUUCUUCCCUGCCUAUCCUAACGUAACUUUACCCAUAUAUGUGCGGUAUUUUUGUUAGCAUUUGUCUGACAGUGUAACACCCCCCCCCCCCUCCAUUCGUUAUUUGUACGGUCA